rnacentral:rRNA from 1 species
GACGAACGCUGGCGGCGUGCCUAAUACAUGCAAGUCGAACGCAGUGGGGACGGGUGAGUAACACGUGGGUAACCUCCCAUCAGAGGGGAUAACACUUGGAUACAGGUGCUAACCUGAUACUGAUGGAUGGACUCGCGGUGCUUUAGCUAGUUGGUGAGGGAACGGCUAACCAAGGCCACGAUGCAUAGACGAACUGGGAGGAGGAUCGGCCACACUGGGACUGAGACACGGCCCAGACUCCUACGGGAGGAAGCAGUAGGGAAUAUUAGGCAAUGGACGAAAGUCUGACCGAGCAACGCCGCGUGAGUGAAGAAGGUUUUCGGAUCGUAAAGCUCUGUUGUUAGAGAAGCGGUAUCUAACCAGAAAGCCACGGCUAACUACGUGCCAGCAGCCGCGGUAAUUC